AGACGACAUAUAUAAUGGCUUAUGUUUCGGCCAUAAGAUUGAUAUUUUUGUAUCGUAUGUUU
rnacentral:tRNA from 1 species